AUUUGGGUUAAACCCCCAAAUUGCCUAUACUCUCUCACACUCCCUCUAAAUUCCUAGAGAUUUAAAUACAUUUAAAUGGAGAUUUAAAUUGAGUAUCUCCAUUUUCUUUCUUCUUUGCUACGAUUUUUGGCGAAAAGAAUGAAUAACCAAAACCUAUUGUAACACUGUCUUUGAGGAUGCCACACCCGAAUUGGUUAGGCACUUCUUCUAGGAUGAAGAUUUCCGGUCCAAUCAGGAUGCAAUAUUAUGCUCAUACAUUCUAAGACGUAAGAGGAAUGUCCUACCGAUGGAACUAUUGUAGUCCACUGGACACAUAAGAUUUGGUGAUUAUCUUAUGCUCUUCAUGCUUUAUGGACUAGGCUUGACUCAUCUUCUUAGUAGUUCAUUUUCGGGAUAGUAUUCUUCUAAAUUCUAUAUUUUGGUAAAGUUUCUCUUCCUCCACAACGACAGAGAAUACAUAAUAGACGAGUAUGGAAAGCAGGAAGACCAUAUUGGUGUCGCUAAGGCACAAGCAUUAGCUGCUUUAUAAAUCAUAUGGAAUUCAACAUAGAGAAUAGUCAAACUCAUGGUUAUGCCUACUGCACUCAUGAAGAACAACGGAAGCUGCGAUUGAACCUCGACUUAGAACCAGGAAUGUGCUGUAAUUUUGCGUAUGACUGUUCAACAAAUUGAUUUGGAACAAGGUUUCUUCAUGUUUAAACGAAAAAAGUAGAGAGAAGACUCUUUGGACUACUUUAGUGAUUAGUGUGAAACUUUUGUAUGUUCCCCUUUCCGUUAAGAA